UGGUUCAUGAGGUUUCGUUUUGGCUCAUGGGAUUUGGUCCAUGAGAUUUGGUUGGUUCAUGGGAUUUGGUCCAUGAGAUUUGGUUUCGGCUCAUGGGAUUUGGUCCAUGAGGUUUGGUUUUGGUUCAUGGGAUUUGGUCCAUGAGGUUUGAUUUUGGUUCAUGGAAUUUGGUCCAUGAGGUUUGGUUUUGGUUCAUGAGAUUUGGUCCAUGAGAUUUAGCUGUGGUUCAUGGGAUUUGGACCAUGAGGUUUAGUUGUGGCUCAUGGGAUUUGGUCAAUGAGGUUUGGUUUUGGCUCAUGGGAUUUGGUCCAUGAGAUUUGGUUUUGGUUCAUGGGAUUUGGUCCAUGAGAUUUGAUUUUGGUUCAUGGGAUUUGGUCCAUUAGAUUUGGUUAUGGUUCAUGGGAUUUGAUCCAUGAGAUUUGAUUUUGGUUCAUGGGAUUUGGUCUAUGAGAUUUGGUUUUGGUUCAUGGGAUUUGGUCCAUGAGUUUUGGUUUUGGUUCAUAGGAUUUGGUCCAUGAGAUUUAGUUCUGUUUCAUGGGAUUUGGUCCAUGAGAUUUGGUUCUGUUUCAUGGGAUUUGGUCCAUGAGUUUUGGUUUUGGUUCAUGGGAUUUGGUCCAUGAACUUGGUUUUGGCUCAUGGGAUUUGGUCCAUGAGAUUUGGUUUUAGUUCAUGGGAUUUGGUCCAUGAGGUUUGGUUGGUUCAUGGGAUUUGGUCCAUGAGGUUUGGUUUUGGCUCAUGGGAUUUGGUCCAUGAGGUUUGGUUUUGGCUCAUGGGAUUUGGUCCAUGAGAUUUGGUUUUGGUUCUAUGUGUGGACUUGGUUUGGGUUUGGAUUUAUUUGGGUCCAAGUUUGGGUUUAUUUGGGUUUUGGGUUUAGGUUUAUUUGGGUUUGGGUUUGGGUUUGAUUUUGGGUUCGGAUUUUAUUUGUAGACUUGAUUUGGAUUGGGUUUGCGUUUGAUUUGAGUUUGGGUUUUGGUUUUAUUUGGGGAAUGGGUUUGGGUUUUAUUUGUGGACUUGAUUUGCUUUGGAUUUGGAUUUUAUUUGGAUUUGGGU
rnacentral:lncRNA from 1 species